UGAGUGAAGAAGGCCCUCGGGUUGUAAAGCUCUUUUGUUGGGAAAGAAAUCCUGUUGGCUAAUACCCGGCAGGGAUGACGGUACCCAAAGAAUAAGUACCGGCUAACUUCGUGCCAGCAGCCGCGGUAAUACGAAGGGUGCAAGCGUUACUCGGAAUUACUGGGCGUAAAGCGUGCGUAGGUGGUGGUUUAAGUCUGUUGUGAAAGCCCUGGGCUCAACCUGGGAAUUGCAGUGGAUACUGGAUCACUAGAGUGUGGUAGAGGGUGGCGGAAUUCCCGGUGUAGCAGUGAAAUGCGUAGAGAUCGGGAGGAACAUCCGUGGCGAAGGCGGCCACCUGGGCUAACACUGACACUGAGGCACGAAAGCGUGGGGAGCAAACAGGAUUAGAUACCCUGGUAGUCCACGCCCUAAACGA
rnacentral:rRNA from 1 species